ACGACGCUGGCGGCGUGCCUAAUACAUGCAAGUCGAACGGCUUUUCUAUGGAAGCUUGCUUCCACUGAGAAGAUAGUGGCGAACGGGUGAGUAACACGUGGGUAACCUGCCCAUAAGAGGGGGAUAACAUCCGGAAACGGGUGCUAAUACCGCAUAGUUUUCUUGAUCGCAUGAUCGGGAAAGGAAAGACGGCCUUUGUGCUGUCGCUUAUGGAUGGACCCGCGGCGUAUUAGUUAGUUGGUGAGGUAAUGGCUCACCAAGACGAUGAUACGUAGCCGACCUGAGAGGGUGAUCGGCCACAUUGGGACUGAGACACGGCCCAAACUCCUACGGGAGGCAGCAGUAGGGAAUCUUCCGCAAUGGACGAAAGUCUGACGGAGCAACGCCGCGUGAGUGAAGAAGGUUUUCGGAAUCGUAAAACUCUGUUGUCAGAGAAGAACAAGUUGGAGAGUAACUGCUCCAGCCUUGACGGUAUCUGACCAGAAAGCCACGGCUAACUACGUGCCAGCAGCUGC
rnacentral:rRNA from 1 species